rnacentral:rRNA from 1 species
UACGUAGGGGGCAAGCGUUGUCCGGAUUUAUUGGGCGUAAAGAGCGUGUAGGCGGCUGGGUAGGUCCGUUGUGAAAACUCGAGGCUUAACCUCGAGACGCCGAUGGAAACCCCCCAGCUAGAGUCCGGAAGAGGAGAGUGGAAUUCCUGGUGUAGCGGUGAAAUGCGCAGAUAUCAGGAAGAACACCCGUGGCUAAGGCGGCUCUCUAGUACGGUACUGACGCUGAGACGCGAAAGCGUGGGGAGCGAACAGG